CAACUUGAGACAGGAUUCAUAAACGCUGAUUUUAGUAACCCUUACCCACCGCCCUUGGUGGGAACUUCGGCUCUGUGAGAAUUGGUCUUUGGGGGACUGAUGGUGAUGCUGAAAUCUUGUUGCAUAGGAAAUUAAGUACAACAAAGAAGACCCGUCGUGAGAGGAGAAUGCGGAAGAAAUGAGAAGUCUACGGGAGGUGGCAGCUGCAGAAGCUUGGAGUUGGAUUUGGAGUUAGGAGACCCGGAGGAGCCCAGCUUUCGGUUCAGAGGGUUAUCUUGUUGACUUGCACGACUGCAAACGCCCUGAGCUACUUUUGCAUUCUGAAACAUCAGCAAUCCCAUCAAAAUACUCUGUUUCUUGGGAUGUAAGAAACAUCCCAAGGCGGGAUUUAAAGCGGGAGAUUUGGACUCGAUUUAAAUACAGACAAUGUAGUAUGCAUUUACUAACACCACAUCUCACCCCUACUAAACUCGGCCUGGCCCCCUUAUCAAGACAACUGAAGGACCUCCCAGCUCUAGAGCUUCCUGAAGGAGCAGCUGAGACGACGGAGCUUGCAGGACUGGAAGUUACUCUGGAUACUUUUAGCUGAUACAAAGUCAGAGGUCUCAGCCCUCAGGAAAUGUUGACAGCUGGCGAAAUGCUGAAAGGUAUAUAUUGGGUAGAAGAGCAUUAUGUAUGGAACUUCUCACGAAACAGGGCUGAAGCAGUGCCUACUCAAUAGAACCGGUCAUCGUGCAAAGAAAUGCCACCUGACUCAAAGGCAAAGCCAGAGUGCAGCUUGGAGCAAAGAAAGUACUUUUAUUAAGAAUUUUAUAUAAACCAUAAGAUAUAUUUUAUAUUACUUUGUGCACCUUCUUGUUAUCUUAAUUCUUUUUGAGAGAAUUCAUUUCAUUUUCAUUUGGUUUGCUUUCUUCUUGUUACAAAGAUGAUCUGUAGAAAAUAUAGAAGUAGACUGGGCACGGUGGCUCAAGCCUGUAAUCCCAGCACUUUGGGAGGCUGAGAUGGGCAGACCACAAAGUCAGAAGCACAAAAGCUUUGUGUUUCUACAGAUAUUAGACUUGUUUCUUGUUUAACAAAAAAAAAUUUGUAACAAUAACAUAAGAGAAUAAAAGAAAUGUUUUU